rnacentral:rRNA from 1 species
UACGGGGGGGGCUAGCGUUGUUCGGAAUCAUUGGGCGUAAAGCGCGUGUAGGCGGUCCGGUAAGUCCGCUGUGAAAGUCGGGGGCUCAACCCUCGAAUGCCGGUGGAUACUGUCGGGCUAGAGUGCGGAAGAGGCGAGUGGAAUUCCUGGUGUAGCGGUGAAAUGCGCAGAUAUCAGGAGGAACACCAAUGGCGAAGGCAGAUCUCUGGGCCGUAACUGACGCUGAGGAGCGAAAGCAUGGGGAGCGAACAGG